AGGACUAACGCUGGCGGCGUGCCUAACACAUGCAAGUCGAGCGGGGUAGCAAUACCCAGCGGCAGACGGGUGAGUAACGCGUGGUCAACCUUCCGUUGAAUGGGGGAUAACUAGCCGAAAGGUUAGCUAAUACCGCAUACGAUCUUUUGAAGGCAUCUUUAAAAGAUGAAAGGAGCAAUUCGUUCAACGACGGGACCGCGUCCCAUUAGCUAGAUGGUGGGGUAAUGGCCUACCAUGGCAACGAUGGGUAGCUGGUUUGAGAGAGCGACCAGCCACACUGGGACUGAGAAACGGCCCAGACUCCUACGGGAGGCAGCAGUGAGGAAUUUUCCGCAAUGGGCGAAAGCCUGACGGAGCGACGCCGCGUGUGGGAAGAAGGCCUUCGGGUCGUAAACCACUGUCGAAGGGGACGAUAAUGACGGUACCCUUGGAGGAAGCCCCGGCUAACUACGUCGCCAGCAGCCGC
rnacentral:rRNA from 1 species